AAGGAGAAGGGAGUUCUCAGCGUCAGCGAGUUCGUUCUCGCCAGUGAUAAUCUCGUCUUCAAGUGCCCUACCUGGUCAUGCUGGUGAUCCAAGCAAGAGAAAGCCAUACUUGCCUUCAGAGAAACAGUUUUUGAUUACUAGGAAUGUUUACAGUAUUUUCUCAUACCAUUUUGUACGCCAGCCACCGAGAGAGAGAAGACAGUGAGGGAGAUGGCGGCGAAGAGAGAAUUCCUUGACUUGACGGGGAUUCCUUUCACCAGAGGCAACUCUUCAGUCGAAUAUUCUUGUGGCUCAAGAACCAGAUGACGAUAGUAUCCUGCGGACCAGAACAUAUAAUGUUAGCAUCACGU